rnacentral:tRNA from 1 species
CAGAGGGUAGUUUAAAGUUAGAAUACUAGCUUUGGGAGCUAGUGGCGGGAGUUCAAGCCUCUCCCCUUUGG